rnacentral:rRNA from 1 species
AUGAAAAGGACAAGGUCCGAUAAGGAGGAAGACAAAGAGGAUGAUGGUGGUUACCCCAAUGUUAAUGCCACCUUGGUGAUUUUUGCUGAUCUCGAGAGCAAAAGUCGACUGAAAGUAAUUAACAGAGAGGUGAACAUGGUUGCUCCGGCAACACCAAGAUAUUUGAAGUGGCCAAAACCCCCUAUUACAUUCGACCAGUCCGACCACCCGCCGCACAUUGCUACCCCUGGGCGACAAGCAUUGGUGGUCGACCCAGUUGUUGGGGGCACCCGACUGACCAAGGUUUUGAUGGAUGGUGUUAGUGCUCUGAAUAUAUUGUAUUGA